CUUCAAAGACCCCAGGUACAGCGGCCGUUCGGCGCUCCGUCCCCGACCGUAGGUGGCGAUCAGCGCCUGGGCCUC
rfam:Streptomyces scabrisporus strain NF3 contig3, whole genome shotgun sequence.